CAUUUCCACCGAGUACUUGUGGCCCGUCUCUGCAAGGUUGCCCUCCAGCACGUCCACCUGGGAAACGCACAAUGCAGCUUCCAAGGGUCUGACCUCCUGCCCGAUGGCGUGCGCCUGAGCCAUCAUAUUGUCCACGUCGUGUCCCUUGGGCUGCUUCUCAGUGAUCAGCUGUUUGAUCUUCAGCUCCAGCUCGGCGUUGGACCUCUCCAGGGAGCGCACCUUGUCCAGUGUACAUUCUGCUGCUGCCUACCUUGGCCACCGGGGGGCGGUAUAAGAAAGAUGUACAGUACUGUACAUAGACGUCUGGACACAGAGGAUAAAGCAUUCAU